GACGAACGCUGGCGGCGUGCUUGACACAUGCAAGUCGAACGGAAAGGCCUGCUUUCCCUUGUGGAUUGCGGGUACUCGAGUGGCGAACGGGUGAGUAACACGUGAGUGAUCUGCCCCCAACUUGGGUAUAAGCCUGGGAAACUGGGUCUAAUUCCCGAUAGGACUGCAGGGUGGUGCCUGUGGUGGAAAACGAUUUUCUAGUGGUUGGGGAUGAGCUCGCGGCCUAUCAGCUUGUUGGUGGGGUAAUGGCCUACCAAGGCGGCGACGGGUAGCCGGCCUGAGAGGGUGGACGGCCACAUUGGGACUGAGAUACGGCCCAGACUCCUACGGGAGGCAGCAGUGGGGAAUAUUGCACAAUGGGCGGAAGCCUGAUGCAGCGACGCCGCGUGGGGGAUGACGGCCUUCGGGUUGUAAACUCCUUUCGACCGCGAGGAAGCCACCUGGUUGGAAGGGUGGUGACGGUAGUGGUAGAAGAAGCACCGGCUAACUACGU
rnacentral:rRNA from 1 species